rnacentral:misc_RNA from 1 species
GAAAUGCGAUAAGUAAUGUGAAUUGCAGAAUUCAGUGAAUCAUCGAAUCUUUGAACGCACAUUGCGCCCCUUGGUAUUCCGAGGGGCAUGCCUGUUCGAGCGUCAUUUAAAAACAUCAAGCACCGCUUGGUCUUGGGCGGGGUCUCCGGACCCGCCUGUAACCGGUUGGCGGCACCGUCUGGCUUCUAGCGUAGCAAUCUAAACCCUCGCUUCGGAGCCUACGCGGGACCGGCCCAAGGUACCUCUAAAGUUUGACCUCGGAUCAGGUAGGGAUACCCGCUGAACUUAA